rnacentral:rRNA from 1 species
UUUCCGUAGGUGAACCUGCGGAAGGAUCAUUAUCGAAUCGUCGACAUGAGCUGUCGCUGGCCCCUCAAGUGGGGAGGCACGUGCACGCUCUGUUUACACAUCCACUCACAUCUGUGCACCCUCCGUGGUUCUAUGGUCUAGAGGAGAGACCCCCUGUCCCUCCUUCUGUAGUUCUACGUCACCACACCCACUCUGUAAUAAGGUUUUGUGGAACGUAUGUCGCGUUUAACGCAAUGCAAUACAACUUUCAGCAACGGAUCUCUUGGCUCUCGCAUCGAUGAAGAACGCAGCGAAAUGCGAUAAGUAAUGUGAAUUGCAGAAUUCAGUGAAUCAUCGAAUCUUUGAACGCACCUUGCGCCCCUCGGACAUACCGAGGGGCAUGCCUGUUUGAGUAUCAUGAACACCUCAACUCUCGCGGUUCACCGUGAUGAGCUUGGACUUUGGGGGUUUUGCUGGCCUCUGUGGGUCGGCUCCUCUCAAAUGAAUCAGCUUGCCAGUGUUUUUGGGCAUCGUGGGCGUGAUAACUAUCUACGCUCGUGGUCGUCUGCCAUGUAACCUUCGGUGAUGGAGGUUCGCUGGGGCUUACAAACGCCUCUCCUCGGCACUUUGAACGUUCGAUCUCAAAUCAGGUAGGACUACCCGCUGAACUUAA